AGGUAGCCCUUCACGUUGUACAGAAAACAAUGGAGACUUCUCCUCCUGGGGCAGACAGAGUCUGGCUGGAGUGCAAUAACGCGAUCUCAGCUCACUGCAACCUCUGCCUCCUGGGUUCAAGUGAUUCUCCUGCCUCAGCCUCCCGAGUAGCUGGGACUACAGCCUCAACCUGGAGAAAAAAGUCUUCAUCCCGUGGAGCACCAUCCACCUCUUCUCCACCUGGACAGGCUGCUGGCUGCCGGAUCUUCUUCGGUUUGGUGGGGCUGCUCACCUUGGGGCCCUCAGGACAGGACACAGGGGCAGGCAGGGCUGUUGAGAGCUCUUCAGCCAGUUCCUGAAGAUACAGAAGUGCCCUGUGGGAACGGACAGAGUCAGAGCCAUUCUCACAUAUGACUGAGAACCCAUGUUUCCAGACAUGGUUGAUUUUUAUCUCAAUGGAGCCUCCCAAUAACCCCAUGAUUAACCAAUUAACUCUAUUAAUUUCCCCUUCCCCCUUGGAAGAUGAAAAACCAGAAAUCUAAGUUAUGUGACUUGGUCGAGAUGACUGAGAUUAACAAAUGUGGAAUCUGAACCCAGGUCUUCUCACUCCAAGUUCAAUACAUUUUUCAUCCUACCACAGUCAAAGAACACAGAGGGCAAGAGAAAGAAUGGAACAGCAUAUAUAUACUGACAUAUACUGGACAGUAAAACAAUAAAGAGCUGGGUAAAGUUUGUGAAAAA
rnacentral:antisense_RNA from 1 species